rnacentral:lncRNA from 1 species
UGGGAAAGCAACGGCGCAGGGUUAUAGUUUGUUCCACAUCAACGGAAUCUUGACCUGAGAGCUGGCUUCCUCCUCUCAGCAUGCUGGUCCUGGCAAGUCCCAUCACAAGCCAGCCUUCCCAAAGAGGAACGCCUUACGGUUGGCUCCAGCCCCUCAGCUUCCUCUUUCUUCCCUAGUUCCCUUGCAAGGAUGACCCCAGGGCCCCUGGUUCCCAGCAGCUCCAAGAUGGUGAGAAUCUGACACCAGAAAGUACAUGUCUAUGAAUCUUCAAGUUAGCAUCAAUUCCCCAAGACAAUGUACAUAAACCAGGUUAAUGACGCUGAAGAUCCCUACUAGAGCCCCACAUUCACAAGUGCACCGUGGGAACUGAUGCUAGCAAGUAUGAUUCUGUUUCCUCCAGGGACAUAGUGACAAGAUCUGCCUUCAGCAAAGACACAGCAUACUUCAUCUUGCAUUCUUUUUUCACAAAAGGAGUGGCAAACCCAGAAAUAGGCUGAGUAAUCACUAUCUUGAGAGAGUAUUUGGCAU